rnacentral:rRNA from 1 species
UACGAAGGGGGCUAGCGUUGCUCGGAAUCACUGGGCGUAAAGCGCACGUAGGCGGAUUGCUAAGUCAGGGGUGAAAUCCUGGAGCUCAACUCCAGAACUGCCCUUGAUACUGGCCGGUCUCGAGUCCGGGAGAGGUGGAGUGGAACUGCGAGUGUAGAGGUGAAAUUCGUAGAUAUUCGCAAGAACACCAGUGGCGAAGGCGG